GACGAACGCUGGCGGCGUGCCUAAUACAUGCAAGUCGAGCGGAAUGAUGAAGAAGCUUGCUUCUUCUGAUUUUAGCGGCGGACGGGUGAGUAACACGUGGGCAACCUACCUUGUAGAUUGGGAUAACUCCGGGAAACCGGGGCUAAUACCGAAUAAUCCAUUUUGCUUCAUGGCGAGAUGUUGAAAGACGGUUUCGGCUGUCACUACAAGAUGGGCCCGCGGCGCAUUAACUAGUUGGUAGGGUAAUGGCCUACCAAGGCGACGAUGCGUAGCCGACCUGAGAGGGUGAUCGGCCACACUGGGACUGAGACACGGCCCAGACUCCUACGGGAGGCAGCAGUAGGGAAUCUUCCACAAUGGACGAAAGUCUGAUGGAGCAACGCCGCGUGAGUGAAGAAGGUUUUCGGAUCGUAAAACUCUGUUGUAAGGGAAGAACACGUACGAGAGUAACUGCUCGUACCUUGACGGUACCUUAUUAGAAAGCCACGGCUAACUACGUG
rnacentral:rRNA from 1 species